GCCGGAUGCAGUGGUGCACGUCUGUAAUCCCCGUGACUCAGGAGGCUGAGGCAGGAGGACUGCAAAUUCAAAGCCAGCCUCAGCAACUUAGGGAGACCCUGUCUCAA
rnacentral:sRNA from 1 species